CUUGCUCAUAAUUCAUGAUUAAUGGUUAAAGAGUGAUAGAAUAUUUGAUAAAAUGAAACUGUACAGUUGAACAUUUAUAAAGUGUACUAUUUGGUUUAUUAGUAACACUUUUACACUUUUGAGGUUACAAUGAUGCCUUAAAGAAAAAAACUAAGAUUGAGAAAAGUAUUCAGUUGUUAUAAUAGCCUGUUGUCAUACAGGCUGGGUUUUUUGGAUACCUGAGAAGAAACCUGUGAACCUAGGAUUCUCUCCCUGACGAGGGAGAUGGCGAGCCGACCAGCUUGAUCAACUUGAUUCAUCUUCAUCCAUUGAGGAAGAACCCCCUGAUACCCCUUGUUUCUCCCAACCCCACUCUGGUGUGGUAGGAUUGUGAUUGAGAAAUUACACAAUUUUAUUUGAUACUUUAUUUUUUGUAAAAAGGGUACACCCAACCAACAAUACUGACUUGAAACUAACUAAAUUGAACUUGACCAAUUGAACUGAACCAGACUGAACAGAAGACAUUCAGAACUGAAUGGACAGUGAAUACAGUUACAACACUCUGGACAUUGAUAUGAAGACAAAUGAAUGUGUUUGAAUGUGAUAAGCUUUACAUAUUGUCAUUACGUUUUCUUUAAUACAGUUCUAACCAUUUUGCACUUACUUUCUGGCUCCGGUUGUUCAUUGUGUCCAUCUCUUCAUUCAUAACCUCUCCUUACGAACCUAGCUUUAACCUGAAAAUAUUUACCUACUGCUAAGUGACCCUUUAGGUGGGUUACAGUCAUCAUAUACGUGACUAUCCUGAACUGAUACUUUGCUUUGGGCCUCUUAUUCGCUCUUGGACCCUUAGGUUUGAGAGUAAACACACUUUUUAAACAGUGUGCUCGCAAAUUACACAACUUCAAGAAUUUGUGAUCUGUUGAUUAUUUAGGCCUCCAGCUACGUAGCUCUGUGGCUGUACACAAUGUCACCGUUAAAGGCACAAGCUACAAAAAAAGCCACGUGUGUUGUCUUUGAGAAGAAUGAUGAGGGACUAGUCUUUGGCAAGAUAGAACUGAUUCUUGUUUGCAACAGUUGUGUUUACUUUGUCACAGAGAAAUGCCAGUCUGAUUUCCUUUUUGAUCAGGGGAUUUACUGCCUAAAGAUGGGCUCAGAGAACCCCAUUUCAAAUUAUUUCUGCCUCGAACAUGCAAGCCUGCUUGACUAUUACCCUUUGCCUGUGUACAACAUGUUUGGUCUGUCUCUAAUAGCCCUUCGCCACUCCUUUCCUUCAGAAUGUCUGAUAUAAGUGAGAGCAUCAAGGACGCAGUCAUUUCUGUCCUGCCAAGUGUGCCAGAAGAAACGAUCUUACACCAGGGAGUGGAAAGCAAAGAUGACUUGCAGUACAUAAGAGAACAGGAAAUUGCAGAGGUUAUUCGACCAAUUCAGUGCAGAAAACUUUUAAAUGCAUGGAAAUGAGCAGGUUUCUGCCUCUGCUGCUGACGUUGAGAGGUCCUUAACUUUGCCUGACAGUCCUCGAUUGAUUGUUCUCGAACUCGCCUCCGCAGGCGAGGACCCCGUGGCGACGGAACCUCUCCAAACUUCGCUAUCCCUCACUGACCCCCCUGUGACGACUUCACGGUCGCAGGAGGGCUAUGGAACUGCCAGUCUGCUACGCGGAAGGCUGACUUCAUUUCAGCCUACGCGUCCCUCUUCUCCCUACAUUUCCUUGCCCUCACUGAGACCUGGAUCACACCAGGCAACACUGCAACCCCUGCAGCCCUCUCCUCCUCCUUCUCCUUCUCUCACGCCCUCCGCCCGUCUGGCCGUGGUUGGGGCACAGGGCCCCUGGGAAGCUUCCUCGAUGAGCUCAACACCCUGCUCAGGUCCUUCCCCGAGAAUGGUGUAAAGGGGAGUCAAACUGGGACCCAGAAAAGGCUGGCAUUUGAACGGGCCUGCAGGCUGGCACUCAUCCUGUACUUCAAAGAACCCAGAGCCGUGUGAUAAAACAAUAAGUUACUUGGACUUCCUCGGGAUAAGCAGGCCAUUUGGCUCUCUGGAAUGUUGCCAUCUGGACACAUCUAAGAUAAGGGGAACUAGUCUCUUUGUCUAUGGUUGUGGGGGUAUGUGUGUUCGGGCCAUUAAGGGUAAAAAGAUCAUCAGGCCUCUGGACAAAUGGUGGGGCAACUACGCUUGACAGUUCCACAGUGCCGUUAUGUGGGCCCCUCUAUCAUUACACUUUUUAAUUAUUUUCUGGAUCUGGACUCUAAACCAUCUGUUUAUCAUAUUUACAAACCCCGGAAAACCUUACAAACCAUGCACGUGUUUUCAUUAUAUUACUGUAUUAUGCCUUAUGUAAUAAUAACAUGGAUUGCAUGUAAAA